rnacentral:hammerhead_ribozyme from 1 species
AGCCGAAACGCCCCCGCGCGCCAGCCGCGUGGGGAGCGUCCGCCCGGACAGGCCGACCGGGCGCUGAUGAGGCAGGCCAUC